GAUGAACGCUGGCGGCGUGCCUAAUACAUGCAAGUCGAGCGAACAGAUGAGGAGCUUGCUCCUCUGACGUUAGCGGCGGACGGGUGAGUAACACGUGGAUAACCUACCUAUAAGACUGGGAUAACUUCGGGAAACCGGAGCUAAUACCGGAUAAUAUAUUGAACCGCAUGGUUCAAUAGUGAAAGACGGUUUUGCUGUCACUUAUAGAUGGAUCCGCGCCGCAUUAGCUAGUUGGUAAGGUAACGGCUUACCAAGGCAACGAUUCGUAGCCGAUCUGAGAGGGUGAUCGGCCACACUGGAACUGAGACACGGUCCAGACUCCUACGGGAGGCAGCAGUAGGGAAUAUUCCGCAAUGGGCGAAAGCCUGACGGAGCAACGCCGCGUGUGUGAUGAAGGUCUUCGGAUCGUAAAACUCUGUUAUUAGGGAAGAACAAAUGUGUAAGUAACUAUGCACGUCUUGACGGUACCUAAUCAGAAAGCCACGGCUAACUACGUG
rnacentral:rRNA from 1 species